ACGGGUGAGUAAUGCAUCGGAACGUGCCCAGUAGCGGGGGAUAACGCAGCGAAAGCUGUGCUAAUACCGCAUAUUCUCUACGGAGGAAAGAGGGGGAUCGCAAGACCUCUCACUAUUGGAGCGGCCGAUGUCUGAUUAGCUAGUUGGCGGGGUAAAAGCCCACCAAGGCGACGAUCAGUAGCUGGUUUGAGAGAACGACCAGCCACACUGGGACUGAGACACGGCCCAGACUCCUACGGGAGGCAGCAGUGGGGAAUUUUGGACAAUGGGGGCAACCCUGAUCCAGCCAUGCCGCGUGUGGGAAGAAGGCCUUCGGGUUGUAAACCACUUUUGUCAGGGAAGAAAUGGACUUUUCUAAUACAAGAGUUCGAUGACGGUACCUGAAGAAUAAGCACCGGCUAACUACGUGCCAGCAGCCGCGGUAAUACGUAGGGUGCGAGCGUUAAUCGGAAUUACUGGGCGUAAAGCGUGCGCAGGCGGUUCUGCAAGUCAGAUGUGAAAGCCCCGGGCUCAACCUGGGAAUUGCAUUUGAAACUACAGGGCUAGAGUGUGUCAGAGGGGGGUAGAAUUCCACGUGUAGCAGU
rnacentral:rRNA from 1 species